ensembl:rRNA 5S_rRNA 5S ribosomal RNA
GUCUAAGGCCAUACCACCUGAAUACACCCGAUCUAGUCUGAUCUCGGAAGCUAAGCAGGGUCGGGCCUGGUUAGUACUUGGAUGGGAGAAAUGGGAAUACAUUUUCCAGUAUAUUUAGAAC